AUUGAACGCUGGCGGCACGCCUUACACAUGCAAGUCGAACGGUAACAGGUCUUCGGAUGCUGACGAGUGGCGAACGGGUGAGUAAUACAUCGGAACGUGCCUAGUAGGGGGGGAUAACUACGCGAAAGAGUGGCUAAUACCGCAUGAGGUCUACGGAUGAAAGCAGGGGAUCGCAAGACCUUGUGCUACUAGAGCGGCCGAUGGCGGAUUAGGUAGUUGGUGGGAUAAAAGCUUACCAAGCCGACGAUCUGUAGCUGGUCUGAGAGGACGAUCAGCCACACUGGGACUGAGAAACGGCCCAGACUCCUACGGGAGGCAGCAGUGGGGAAUUUUGGACAAUGGGCGCAAGCCUGAUCCAGCAAUGCCGCGUGCAGGAUGAAGGCCUUCGGGUUGUAAACUGCUUUUGUACGGAACGAAAAGCCCCGGGUUAAUACCCUGGGGUCAUGACGGUACCGUAAGAAUAAGCACCGGCUAACUACGUGCCAGCCGCCGCCGUAA
rnacentral:rRNA from 1 species